rnacentral:rRNA from 1 species
UACGGAGGAUCCAAGCGUUAUCCGGAUUUAUUGGGUUUAAAGGGUGCGUAGGUGGAUUAAUAAGUCAGUGGUGAAAGCCCGCAGCUUAACUGCGGAACUGCCAUUGAUACUGUUAGUCUUGAGUACAGUUGAGGUGGGCGGAAUGUGUCAUGUAGCGGUGAAAUGCUUAGAUAUGACACAGAACACCGAUUGCGAAGGCAGCUCACUAAGCUGUAACUGACACUGAGGCACGAAAGUGUGGGUAGCAAACAGG